rnacentral:rRNA from 1 species
UACGUAGGGGGCGAGCGUUGUCCGGAUUCAUUGGGCGUAAAGCGCGCGUAGGCGGCUCCGCAAGUCGGCCGUGAAAUCUCCGGGCUCAACUCGGAGGGGUCGGGCGAGACUGCGGGGCUCGAGGUGGGCAGAGGGCAGUGGAAUUCCGGGUGUAGUGGUGGAAUGCGUAGAGAUCCGGAGGAACACCAGUGGCGAAGGCGGCUGCCUGGGCCUGGCCUGACGCUGAGGCGCGAAAGCGUGGGGAGCGAUCCGG